CAUCCUCCAAGGCUAAAUACUCCUAACUGACCGAUAGUGAACCAGUACCGUGAGGGAAAGGCGAAAAGAACCCCUGUGAGGGGAGUGAAAUAGAACCUGAAACCGUAUACGUACAAGCAGUGGGAGCCCUUCGGGGUGACUGCGUACCUUUUGUAUAAUGGGUCAGCGACUUUGUCUCUCGAGCAAGCUUAAGCCGGUAGGUGUAGGCGCAGCGAAAGCGAGUCUGAAUAGGGCGACAUAGUCAGUGGGGGUAGACGCGAAACCUUGUGAUCUACCCAUGGCCAGGUUGAAGUUUUGGUAACACAAAAUGGAGGACCGAACUCAUAUACGUUGAAAAGUGUUGAGAUGAGCUGUGGGUAGGGGUGAAAGGCCAAUCAAACUGGGAAAUAGCUCGUACUCCCCGAAAUGUUUUUAGGAACAGCCUC
rnacentral:rRNA from 1 species